GGGCUUGACAUCCCACGAACCUGCCCGAAAAGGUGGGGUGCCCGCAAGGGGGUGUGGAGACAGGUGGUGCAUGGCUGUCGUCAGCUCGUGUCGUGAGAUGUUGGGUUAAGUCCCGCAACGAGCGCAACCCUCACCCCUAGUUGCCACCGGGUUAAGCCGAGCACUCAAGGGGAACUGCCAGCGUCAAGCUGGAGGAAGGCGGGGAUGACGUCAAGUCAUCAUGCCCCUUACGCCCUGGGCUACACACGUGCUACAAUGGCCAGUACAAAGGGACGCGAGACUGCGAAGUGGAGCUAAUCCCAAAAAGCUGGUCUAAGUUCAGAUUGCAGUCUGCAACUCGACUGCAUGAAGGAGGAAUCGCUAGUAAUCGCGUAUCAGCCCGGCGCGGUGAAUACGUUCCCGGGCCUUGUACACACCGCCCGUCACACCACGAAAGCUGUCUGUACUCGAAGUCGCUGAG
rnacentral:rRNA from 1 species